rnacentral:rRNA from 1 species
GCGGANGAAANNNAACCAACAGGGAUUGCCCUAGUAACGGCGAGUGAAGCGGCAACAGCUCAAAUUUGAAAUCUGGCGUCUUCGGCGUCCGAGUUGUAAUUUGCAGAGGGCGCUUUGGCAUUGGCAGCGGUCCAAGUUCCUUGGAACAGGACGUCACAGAGGGUGAGAAUCCCGUACGUGGUCGCUAGCCUUUACCGUGUAAAGCCCCUUCGACGAGUCGAGUUGUUUGGGAAUGCAGCUCUAAAUGGGAGGUAAAUUUCUUCUAAAGCUAAAUACUGGCCAGAGACCGAUAGCGCACAAGUAGAGUGAUCGAAAGAUGAAAAGCACUUUGGAAAGAGAGUUAAAAAGCACGUGAAAUUGUUGAAAGGGAAGCGCUUGCAGCCAGACUUGCCUGUAGUUGCUCAUCCGGGUUUUUACCCGGUGCACUCUUCUAUAGGCAGGCCAGCAUCAGUUUGGGCGGUUGGAUAAAGGUCUCUGUCAUGUACCUCUCUUCGGGGAGAACUUAUAGGGGAGACGACAUGCAACCAGCCUGGACUGAGGUCCGCGCAUCUGCUAGGAUGCUGGCGUAAUGGCUGUAAGCGGCCCGUCUUGAAACACGGACCAAGGAGUCUAACAUCUAUGCGAGUGUUUGGGUGUCAAGCCCGAGCGCGUAAUGAAAGUGAACGGAGGUGGGAACCUUUCGGGGUGCACCAUCGACCGAUCCUGAUGUCUUCGGAUGGAUUUGAGUAAGAGCAUAGCUGUUGGGACCCGAAAGAUGGUGAACUAUGCUUGAAUAGGGUGAAGCCAGAGGAAACUCUGGUGGAGGCUCGCAGCGGUUCUGACGUGCAAAUCGAUCGUCAAAUUUGGGCAUAGGGGCGAAAGACUAAUCGAACUAUCUAGUAG